UCAGAGCUUCUACCUUGCAGAAAGCCUGGU
rnacentral:piRNA from 1 species